CUGAGACAGAAAUGGCUUCCCUUAAUCACUCACCUUUUCCACUCUAUCAUCACAGUUCACCUGAGGGGUAUUCCAGAAAGCAGGUUAAGUGACUUACCCAGAUCUUUGCUCAGGUGUGUUUGAAGAGUCUGUGGGCACUUUAAUUGCCAUUGUUGUGGCAGCUGUUGGUGUGGCAGCAGGACUGGUUGCGGUGAUACUGACUCAGUUCAAGGACAAACUGAACUUCCUGCAGAAAUGACGGGACAGUGAUGGCAAUGGAUUAUGGUGGUUAGGAGAGUGAGGAGGUAUAAGUAAACAAGCUGGCACAGUAUGUGACAGAAUGACAUCAGUGAAAGGAAAGACAUUUAUCUCACCUCAUUGCUAGAAUAAUCAGGUGAUUACAUUAAUGAACAGAUACAGUGACCCCUAGGGUUGCCACCCAUCCAGGAUUUUCCAGGAUAGUCCUGAUUACUCAAUUCAAUUUGAUGGAAAUUUGUUAUGAAAUUGAAACGCAUAAAUCUUGAAAUAGGUACAGUAAAUCUUGAAAAUAUUUUUUGAGUAAAUAUGUAUGUACAUUUAUUUGAUUUCCUUUGGUUUAAAUGUACGGAUGUUAUUUUUAGACUUUAUACAUACCUUUAUGUUUUAUACAUACAUUAUACAUUUUAAAACAUUUAAAUGUUCAGUGUGAACCAUAAACUCAAGAAAACUGAUUAGGGACAGAAUGAGUAAAUAAUAUGUAAAACUUGU